GAGUUUUGACAGGUCUCAUGUGCAUCCCUCCCGAAGCUUCACACUUGGUCUAAGAAGACGACCACCCCCGAUAGAGGAGGACCGUUCCUCGGUCAAGGGUAUACUACGAGUAGCUGCGCUCCCCUGCUAGAACCUCCAAACAAGCUCUCAUGGUUUGGGAUUUUUAAACAUCAAAGAAAAAGUGGCCUGGAUUAAAAUGCUUCUAACAUUGCAUCAUAGUUCAGCACUUGUU
rnacentral:snRNA from 1 species